AGGCGGCUUUCGCGCGCUCGGCGGCUGCGGCGGCGGCGGCGGCGGCGGCGGCGGCGGCCGGAUCCCGGAGGAGGUGGCGGCGUCGGUGGUAAGUGGCGGCGGCUCGGACCCCGGCAGCCCGCCCGGCUCCCGCGUCCUCCUGCGGGCCUCGUCUUCCCGACGCGCGGAGCGGGCGUGUCCGGGGCCAGCGGAAUGGACGCCGAGCGGGGCCGCGCGCCUGUGGGACUCGGGGCUCGGGGUGCUGAGAGCGCGCAGGCUGCUGCCACCGUGGCGGGGUGACCGGCCGCCGAUGGCGCGAGGGGUCCCCCCCACCCCCUUCAGGCUACUCUGGGGGCCCACCCUGCCGGUGGAGCCCAGGCCCGGCCCUCUUGCUGGGAGUCUAGUGUCAUUUGUGAUAAGAAGGGACGCCUACAAGCAAAACUGGACGUGAGAUGUGUACUCGCUGGAGUAGUCUAGGGGCCCAGCUCUCCUCCGCCCUUGCCACCACAGGGCCUUUGCUCGGGUUGGUCUUUGUGACUGAUAUGCCCUCACUACGUCCCGGCUUCGUGCGGAUGACCCCAGCAUGGCUAAUGUUUCUUGCUACAGUAUUUCUUCCCCAAAGUGCAUCCGUCCCCUCGUGCUCCCCCACCCCCACCCCGAGGUGCUGCACUUGUCACAGAGCAUGUUGUCUUUUGAUCCCAUCAGAAUGCAAACUCCCUGAGAGUCCGGGAUCCACAAAUGCAUCAAGUUGAAAGCAAUUUGCUUAGAAUUGGAACAAACACGUUUGCAGAUACACAGAGUAAAAAAUUUGGAGUUUGUAACGGUGUUGGGUGAAAACUUGGCAUCCUUCCGACCCCUGACCUCCAAGACCUGGCUCCCCUUUCCUGGGGCAGUUUCUUAUAUGUUAACACAGAAAAUCUAUGUUUGUACAUCCAGUGUAUUUAUACAAAACUCUGCCCACUGUACAUGGGAUCCUGUUACUCAGCAUAGCUUGGAGAGCAUUGUUUGUGUUCUGACGUAGAGAUCUAGGUCGUUUAUUUGCAUUGAAGCACCAUAUUGUGUUAGUCCUAUAAUUGAGUAGAAAUUUAGGUUCUUUCUAGGCUUUUUGUAAUAAGCAAUGCUAGACCGAUUAUCCUUGUACAAAAGUCUUUGUACCCAAGUAGGAAUGUUUUUGUAGGCUAAAUUCUUUAGUGCAGGAGUGCUAGGUCAAAGGGCUUUUCGUGGGUCUCUAAAUGCCUGUGUGAUCUCUCAACAGGUCAUACCAAAUUGCCUCCCACCACCAAAGGAGGGGCCUAGGGUCCUGCACCUGAUGCUUGAUUUUGCAGAUCUGGGGUGCCUGGGUGGCUCCGUCAGUUGAGCGUUCAACUCUUGAUUUGGGCUCAGGUCAGGAUCUCACGCGAGGUUGAGCCCCGCGUAUGGCUCUGCCCUGACGGCAUGGAGCCUUCUUGGCAUUUUCUCUCUCUGCCCCUCCCCAUCUUGCUCUCUCUCUCUCUCUGAAAUAAACAUUUAAAAACCCUUCAUCUCGGAAUACUUUGGGCUCUACAGAAAAGACAGCAGUGAGUCCCAUCUACGUCUCACCUGGUGCCCCUCAUGUUAACAUCUUGUCGGAACCAAGAAGUUCACGUGCGUUAGCGUUAACCACACUCCAAACUGUAUUCCAGUUGUUUCACUAAUGUCCUAUUCUGUUCCAGCAUCCCUCAUGCUGUUUACCCAUCUUGUCUCCUUCGUCUCUUAAAAUAGGACACUCCUUCAUGUUUCUUGUGUUUCAUGACCUUGACAGUGUUGGGGACUAGUCAGGGGUUUUCUAAGAUGUCCCCUGACCUGGGCCUGUCUGAGGCUACGUGAGGGUUAUGGGUGUGGGGGAAGAACGAAGCGUCGAGGUGUCCUUUUUGUCACCUCCCAUCAAGAGUCCUUGAUGCUCCCCGACAUCAUCCUGAGUUUGACCUUGAUCUUGACCACCUGGCUAAGGUGGGGUCUACCAGGCCUCCCCACAGUCAGGUUACUGCCCUCCCCUUCCCUGCUCUGUUCUCUGGAAUCGAGUCCCGGAGUACAGCCUACACUUCAGUGGGAGGGAUGUGUUUAGAAAAGAAAUUUUCAUAUAGAAAACCAUAAAAAAGAAAGGACACAUGGCCUGUAAUUGCACUGUUUAGGUACCUGCUGACAUUUAAAGAGAACAAAUAAUACAUACACACGGGUUCCCAAAAAAGUUGAAUUGCAUAAAGUAUUAUUAAAACUAUUGCAGCGGGUGCCUGGGUGGCUCAGUCAGCCAAGCACCUGACUCUUGAUUUCGGCUCAGGUCAUGAUCUCACGGUUUGUGGGUUUGAGCCCCAAGUCAGGCUCUGCGCUGACAGCACAGAACCUGCUUGGGAUUGUCACCCUCUCCCUCUCUCAAAAUAUUUAAACAUAAAAAAACAAAAACAAAACUAUUAAAAAGAAAGUCUUCACUUAAAAAAAAAAAGCUAAGGUCAUUCCAGCACGUGUAUACACACAUUCGCACACUGGAGCUUUGAUUCUGACCCUGACCUAUCUGGGGCACCUUCCUCGUGGGCACACGGUCUGGGGCAUCCGCAGCAGGGACGCCCCCACUUUUUGGAACUCCCCACUCACCUGUGCCCCCAGGAGUCCCCCCCUUCCACAGCUAGUGACUGCCCCUUGCCCUGCUUGGGUCUUGCAGCCCGGUGAGAGCCCUCCUGACCCCUUGGGAACCAUCAGGGCAGGAUAGAGACCGGCCCCCAGUCACAGGUGAGGAAACUGAGGUAGAAGAAAGAAUGCACUGGCUGCUGUGGGUGUCCCAGCAGGUGUGCACUCAGGCUGCCCCUGUAUUUUCCCCAAACCCUGUGCUGCCUCAGCUUUGCCCACAGGCAGGCCACUUCGCUGUUCUCCCCCAGCCUUGGUGUCCUCAUCUGUGAAAUGGGGAUGCCACUUGUAGGGUCGUAGUGAGAACAGUGACAAAAUGAGGCAGAGGUGCGCAUGGGGUCAGAGUGGGGCGGGGAUGGUCGAGCUGUGCGGGUGAUAACUGAGCACAGGUCCCGCGGGUGCUGCACGGGCUCCCACGCAGGGACUCCUGCCCACAGAGCGGCCGGCACAGCCCACAGAUGAGGUCUGAGAUCCCGAUUAUUGCCAGGAGUAACGACUUGUGGGGCCACCCUGUGGGGAACAACCAGGACGCAGCCCUGACCGCUUUUCGCACAUCCUCUGCAAGAAGGUCGGUGCCCACCUACCACCUAUGCCCUGAUCUGACUCCCAGCUGCCUUGCCCUAGACCUUGAGCCCCUUGAGUGCAAGAUGCUGGGGGGACUGGCUCUGAGCUCAAUAAACAUCCCUGGAAGCAACAAAUGA